UUUUCAUCAGUAUAGUUAAUAUUUUUCUUCAUAGUUCGUCACGUAUCGUUGAUUCGUUCGUCAUUUGACUUUGGAAAAUAUUAAAAAUUUUAACUGAAAGGAUGAAAACUUUAUUGGUCAUCUUCUUAUCAAUCUUUCUAUUCAAUGGUCUAUUGGUUAAUUGCGAUGAAACUUCAUCACCAGAACCAUCAGUAACACCAUAUUCACCAAUACCACCAGGACCACCACCAAUAAUACCAAGAUUGGUAGCACUUCGUUCAAGACUACGUACAAUGAUUCCACAUAAUGAAAAUGGUGUUCCUA